AAUCUGGCGUUCAUCGUCCGAGUUGUAAUUUGGAGGGGUAACUUCGGAAACGACGCCGCUCUAUGUUCCUUUGAACAGGACAUCACAGAGGGUGAGAAUCCCGUGCUUGGGCGGAUUGUCCGGACCAUGUGAAGUGCCUCCGACGAGUCGAGUUGUUUGGGAAUGCAGCUCAAAAUGGGUGGUAAAUUUCAUCUAAAGCUAAAUAUUGGCGAGAGACCGAUAGCGCACAAGUAGAGUGAUCGAAAGAUGAAAAGAACUUUGAAAAGAGGGUCAAACAGUACGUGAAAUUGUUGAAAGGGAAGCGCUUGAGAUCGAACUCAGUCGAUGGCACACAGCCGAGCUUCUGCUCGGUGCACUGGUCGUCGACUGGGCCAGCAUCGGUUCUGACGGCGGGAUAAAGGGUCGGGAAACGUGGCUCGCCUCGUGCGAGUGUUAUAGUCCCGCGCCGUAAUACCGCCAGUCCGGGACCGAGGACCGCGC
rnacentral:rRNA from 1 species